rnacentral:lncRNA from 1 species
GUACGGGCAGGUGUGCAGGCAUUUGCCCGCCGCAGCUUCAAAGAGAGAUUGCCAGUUUCCUAGAGGCGCGAUUGCUCGGGAACAUGAAUGAAAAUCCUAAGACAGAAGAGACCAGUGGUUUAGCUGUCAGAAUGCAGUGGCCUGCCCUCCUGACCCCUUGCUGACAUUAAACAGCCCCUGCCCUGGAAUGCCGCUCCUGGCCUGGCAUCCUGGGAGCGUGUGUCCAGCCUGCGGGACAGAGAUAAGCGUAAACCUAGCCUCUGAUUCUGAACACUAGCUAAGGCUCCCGACAGUUGACGAGAUUGAUGAUUUUCAGCUGGUAUGUCUCCGUAACUGAGGAGGCCAUAGCUUUGAUGUAUUGGUCAGAUCAAUUUGGCUUAAGUGCCCCAGUAAAUGAAUGCAAAUGACUUAAGGAAAUUUCUAACUCAAAGGCGAGCCACUAAUCCACGUCUUUCAGACCAGAAGCCGAAUCAUCCAAAGCGGGUGCAGUAUGUGGAGAAAGGGGUGCUUGUCUCCUCCGUUUUCUCCUUAGGAAGACUUCACUGUUGGAGACCUUUCUUCUGAGUGCUGCCCUGGGGUGCUGUUCAAAAUCCAGGCGUCUCAUGAAUUAUGCUGCCAGAUCUAGGAGGAGCCAGUCCUCUUUGGAACUAGGUGAACUGGGCUAAUGAGAAACAGGCCCAUCUCAUCCGCCAGCCAGUUUGCUCCAGGGCCAGAGGAAAGCCGGGGCCUCUGGCUCCCACAUCCCAUGUGGCAACCAACCAUCAGGUUAUGCUUGGCUUUGCAACCAUCAGGAAAGGCCUCACGUCUGCCUAACUGCAAAACAAUUUGGUUGGCUUAUAAAUUGCUGCCUCUAUCAUGUGCUUCUGAAUUAAAAGGAACGGAUGGUUUUUAAAGGUUUAUCUGUUUCAUUAUUGAUGCAGAAUGACCUCGUGCUGACAAAUUUCGAUUUUCACACGGUUUCUUUGCUGAUGCAGUAUCUCUGCCACCCAUGCUCUAGGGCAGCGUGGAGCCACUUCAGAGCAUGGCUUUUGUGAGCCAGCGCCCAGCAGGGUGUUCUUUUCUGAGUGCAAAGAGAGAAUCCACUGACCUCAUUUGCUUCCAUCCUGUGAACCUCUCAGUGUGUUUCAGAACACCAGGGUCUGAACAGAGAAGCUUCAGAAUACUUUCUCCGACUAGAGAACUUUUUUAUGGUGGGAGGAAAAAAUGUUGCCAGUCCCACUUCACAGACACCUGGAAUUCAUGAAGUCUGAGGACUUCUUUCAUUUUACUUUCAACUAAAAGCUCUAGCACGAAACAGCAAAGGCUCACAGAACUAAAGAUCAGGAGGUGGCCCUGUGAGAGGGUGUUCAGCCUGGAUCCCUGGUGAAACUCCAUCAUUGAGCAGCAUAUCUACUUCAGAAAGCGUGGAAAGAAAAGAGCCUGGUGGGAAAAGUCUAUCAAGUGAUAGUGACGUGCCCUUAUGGAAAAAAUUCUGGGUUCAGAAACAAUAGAGAUACCAAACAAGAUAAGACUAAGCCACAGAGGUAUCUGAAAAGCUGCCAUCAAUCAAAGCUCUUUGUGAAGCUGGUUAGUGCAGGUUCCAUUGUUCUAAGGAGCAGGCAAAAGGAACAAAUAAAAUCCAGCUGUUUCUUCAUUCUUGCACCAGAUAACACCCUCCAAAACCCCGCAAGGUGAAGCUCAUGUCAUCCAAAACCAAGGCAUGAGCCAGAGCCUAAAUAGAGGAAAGAAAAUAGAAGAGAGAAUUCUAGCGACAUAUCUGGUCAUCAUUCCAAGCAACCUGGCUGAACUUUUGCAUCGACAAACAAUUUUUUCUUGAGCAUUUUUAAAUUUACAAGCUGGUUUUCAACAAAGCUUUUCAAAAAGAAGUCUUUAUGAUGGUAAAUCUUUAAAAGAAAUGUGUUUUAGACCAAGAAAGGCAAACCUUUCAUGUCCUGUUUAGUCUCUAGCAUGCUUGUUUUCAAAACACAAGCUCCAGUCUGCAUGUUUCUGCAGUCAACUGUCUGUCUUAGAAAAUAUCUCAAAAUCAAUCUGUCCCCGUGUUUGCUUAUGAUUCUGCGGUAAUCCUCUGUUUGUAGUCACAAGUUGUCAGGAGAACAUCAUGUAAGGCAUGGUAUGAAGACUUAAGAAAUCUUGAAAUCAGAAACUUCAAUUUUCUUUCUCUUGAAGUGUUUCUAAGGGAUGAAAAAUGAGAAAGGAAAUUAGCAUCUACUGUUACCUCAUUUAAUUCCUUCAACCAUCUUCAGGGUAUUAUUGUCUCCAAAAAGAAACCAAGGUUCAGAGAAGAGGACUCACUUGCCCUGUGACCUAUGACCAGGGGUCCCACGUUGGGACCCAGAAUUCUGACUCGAACCCAGUGCUGGCUCCCCUGUGUCCCAGGGAUGGGCAGGAUAAGAUGUUCUUUAAAACUUUGUUUGUUGGGCACCUCAAAAAACCCUUAUGAAUUAUUGCUUAAGUUAUUUUGGCAUAAUAACGUCACUAAGUCCAUGGAAAAUUAAACUUUUAGAAUCUCUGUUAUAUGGCUAGAUCAAUACUAAACUACCCCUUUUUUUCCAAGUCCCUGGAAAAAGUGAAAUUAUAAGUUUUGACUACAUGGGAGGGCUUUGGUGCCUCAUACACUUGCAUUAAAUGCAGUAUCCUUGAAAAUAAUAGAAUAUGUAUUUGUGAGAGUAAAAAUUUAUACAUGCAGCAGUCCAUAAGAGAAUUAGAUCUAGAAAGUACAACUUGAAAGAGUUCUAAACUCUUAGAACAAAUUGAUUUAAAUUUGAAUAGUACUGAAUAUGAAUUGAUGGAAAGUGAAUAUUUAGAACCCCCUUUUGUGAAUUUCAGUAAGCUGACAUUUGUUAGCUCCUGACGCAGUAGCUUUUCUGAGUCAAGAACUGAAGGUACCUUGAAUUACCUGACAGAUAAUCAUACAGAGAUGUGAAGUCAAAUGUCAUAUUCCAUUAAGCCUAAUCUGCAGUUGCAGGAAGGGUGGACAAUCUUGCCUAAACAUUUGACAGAUUUGGAAUGUCUCUUGCCAUAGACAUUUAGCAUGAACCAGCUUCAUUGUCCUAGUAUCUGUCACACAGAAAUGGUCCCUUGCUCGGCUUCUAAUGGAUUUGCUGCAAAGGCUGUGAGGAAUGAGUCACACUCAGGGACACGAUGACACAGGAACAGCUUCUACAACACAAUCCUCUGCAAUAGGGAAAGCUGUGCCUCUCCCCAGGGACCUGCCUAUAAAGUUGGUCUUCUUUCCACUAAGGAGGCAUUCCUGAGAGCCCCCCAUAAAUUAAGGAGAACUUCUCUAGGUAACUACUAAAAAAUAAGGCCAACAAACUAAAUCCUUGGGAUAUGAAAUAUUAAUGUGAUGGGAAUUACCUUAAUAGGAAACAAUUGAGUAUACACUGUAUUACAUAAGUGAGGCUUAAAAAAAAAAUAACAUUGAGUUCCGGGCAUUUUUUUUCUUCCUUGGAAAAUGCCUUGAAAUCUUUUCCAUCAACACAGUCUAACAGUACAGGUUAUGGGUGACAUAUAGUUUCAAGGCAAAUUGCAGCUUAGUUGGUCAAACUCUUUCAGUAGGAAAAAAAAUGACAAUUUGAAAGAGUUCUGGAAGGGCUAACACUAAACAGUUCCAUCUUGACCUCAAACCAACGCAAUCUGCAAACAAGUCAAUAUGUGAACCCAAAGGAAGAUUCUGCCCCAGCCUAAGAAAGGGACAACUUUUCCUUCUCUGGAAUCGAAAUGUUCCAUGAAAUUAAAUCAUUGAUUAAAAGCUGGGGAGGCAAAGACUGUUGAAAUGUCAGUUAAGAUACUUUAGGCUGCAAAUCUGAUUCACCAUUGCUUAAACGAUAAGAAAUGGUAUCUGCACAGCUGGAAGUCCAGGAUGGGAUGGCUUCAAGUUUGGCUCUAUCCAGGGACUGUCUCUCAAUCUUCUGUUUAGUGGGUGUUGUCCUAGGCUGGCUUCACUCAAGGGGAUAAAAAUAAGUAUGGUCCUCCCAGGCCUUAUAUCCAUCUACACAACAUCCUGGGGAAGAGGUUUCUGGAACCUCUAGUACUAAUCCAUAUACCAUGGGAAUAACAGGUACUGAUUGGCUUCAACCUGAAUUCCUUAAAUUAAUCUUUGUGAAAAGGAGGCUGGGAUGACCUUGAUUGAGUUAAAAUAGUCAGGGUUCCACCUGUGGAGUGGAGGAUGAGAUCAGUUUCCUACAAUCCACAUCCUACACAAUGGGUGAGGGAUGGAAGGAAUGCUGGAGACUACCACAUACCCGCCGAUAUUCAUGAUAUCUUGGUCUUUUGUGUUUCACAAUAAACUCUUAA